AUUGAACGCUGGCGGCAUGCCUUACACAUGCAAGUCGAACGGUAACAGGUCUUCGGAUGCUGACGAGUGGCGAACGGGUGAGUAAUACAUCGGAACGUGCCUAGUAGUGGGGGAUAACUACUCGAAAGAGUGGCUAAUACCGCAUGAGAUCUACGGAUGAAAGCAGGGGAUCGCAAGACCUUGUGCUACUAGAGCGGCCGAUGGCAGAUUAGGUAGUUGGUGGGAUAAAAGCUUACCAAGCCGACGAUCUGUAGCUGGUCUGAGAGGACGAUCAGCCACACUGGGACUGAGACAAAGCCCAAACUCCUACGGGAGGCAGCAGUGGGGAAUUUUGGACAAUGGGCGCAAGCCUGAUCCAGCAAUGCCGCGUGCAGGAUGAAGGCCUUCGGGUUGUAAACUGCUUUUGUACGGAACGAAAAGCCCUGGGUUAAUACCCUGGGGUCAUGACGGUACCGUAAGAAUAAGCACCGGCUAACUACGUGCCAGCAGCCGCCGUAACAC
rnacentral:rRNA from 1 species